UGUGCUAAGUUUAAGCAUAUCAAUAAGCAGAGGAAAAGAAACUUACUAGGAUUCCCUAGUAACGGCGAGCAAACUAGGAAAAGCCCAGCUUGAGAAUUGAGCACCAUCAGCGUUCGAAUUAUAGGCUAGAGAAGCAUCUUCAGUGGCGGACCGAGCUCAAGUCCCCUAGAAAGGGGCGCCGAAGAGGGUAAGAGCCCCGUCGUGCGCGGACCCUGUCGCACCACGUUGUGCUACCUACGAGUUGGGUUGUUUGGGAAUGCAGCUCUAAUUGAGCGGUAAAUUCUGUCCAAGGCUAAAUACGGGCAAGAGACCGAUAGGGAACAAGUAUCGCGAGGGAAAUAUGAAAAGGGCUUUGAAAAGAGAGUCAAGGAGUGCUUGGACCAAGGGGAUAGUUUUAGAUUACUCUUUAGGGCUAGAAAAGUCUACUUGUAAGGUUGCAAUUUCAAGUAAACUUGAUCUCCCACCUUAAAUUUACUUUUAUUCCUUUUUUUAUUUGCAUAAAACUUCAUUCAUUCUUGAGUCUUUUGUAAUUGGGCUAUUAAAAGUUUGCUAACUUGCUUUCUCUCUCACAUUAACUUGUCCUCUACCGCUUCUUUGGAGCCACUAGAAGUAUCCCAAGCAAACAAGGGGUUGGUAUUUGUAUAAUCCUCAAAAAGGA
rfam:Gossypium raimondii Chr10_contig_293, whole genome shotgun sequence.